rnacentral:rRNA from 2 species
AUAGCGAACAAGUACCGUGAGGGAAAGUUGAAAAGCACUCUGGAGAGAGAGUCAAAAGACCGUGAAACCGCUCAGAGUAUAAGCCCAUGGCAGCUUGGAAGGCAUAUCGCUAGCGGGGCAUCGGUCUCCCUUCGCGGGGAGCUGGUGUUACCUUGCUUCUGUUGUGGCUCGUCAAGGUAGGGGGGUCAAGUCCACAUCCCGCCGUCGUGUGUGAGGUUCUUGGGUGUGUUGUUGUCUUUCGGUUGACUUCGGUUGGCCGUUGGGCUCUUCGUGCUUGGUGCUUCUUUAACACGGACGUUCAGACUCAAAGGCAAGACGCGAUAACUAGCCCACCACGGCACGUUGUGAGGUCACCCACAGGCUCAACUUUCGAUUGUGAACCUUGACGCCGAGCAGCACAAUGCGUGUCGCUUAUGUUCCUAACCAGGCAACGCUGCCAGGACCGUGGAACGACACGCGCUCAACAGUCAGGUUCGAGCGAUGACAGAGUUCUGGUACGAUCCUCUUGCGACGAGCCGGCUUCUGGCCAAAAUCCGCUGCUCAGGUCUCCCGCAUGUGCCGCGGGAGAUCGCCCUUGACGGUCUGGAGCUUUUACAAGUCCUCUCAGUCGGGCAACGGAUAGAGUGGUGUAAAGUCCAAGCCCAUCGGUCACGUCUCGAAACACGGGCCAAGGAGUAUAGCAUGUGUGCAAGUCUAAGGGUCUCACAAAACCCGAAGGCGAAGUGAAAGCAAGUAAGCGGCGGGUGAUCUA